rnacentral:tRNA from 1 species
GGCUCAGAGGUUAAGAGCACUGGCUGCUCUUCCAGAGGACCUGGGUUCAAUUCCCAG